UACAGAGGUGGCAAGCGUUGUUCGGAAUUACUGGGCGUAAAGGGCGCGUAGGCGGUCGAUUAAGUCCCGUGUGAAAUCCCUCGGCUCAACUGAGGAACUGCACGGGAAACUGGCUGACUUGAGUUCGGGAGAGGGAAGCGGAAUUCCGGGUGUAGCGGUGAAAUGCGUAGAUAUCCGGAGGAACACCGGUGGCGAAGGCGGCUUCCUGGACCGAUACUGACGCUGAGGCGCGAAAGCGUGGGGAGCGAACAGG
rnacentral:rRNA from 1 species